AGCGAACGUUAGCGGCGGGCCUAACACAUGCAAGUCGAGCGAGAAAGGGACUUCGGUCCUGAGUAAAGCGGCGGACGGGUGAGUAAUACGUGGGUAAUCUUCCCUUGAGCGGGGGACAACGUUCCGAAAGGGACGCUAAUACCGCAUACGUUCUUCGAGACUCCGGUCUUGGAGAGGAAAGCUAGGUAGCAAUAUCUGGCACUCGAGGAGGAGCCCACGUCGCAUCAGCUAGUUGGUGGGGUAACGGCCUACCAAGGCGAAGACGCGUAG
rnacentral:rRNA from 1 species